UAGAUAUAUAAGCAGACCUUCAGAAAGACAGAAAGUCAGAUUAACAGUCAGAUUGACAGUCAGAUUGACAGUCAGAUUGAAAGUCAGAUUGACAGUCAGAUUGACAGUCAGAUUGACAUUCAGUGACAGUCAGAUUGAUAGUCAGAU